rnacentral:rRNA from 1 species
GGGGAAUAUUGCACAAUGGGCGCAAGCCUGAUGCAGCAACGCCGCGUGAGUGAUGAAGGCUUUCGGGUCGUAAAACUCUGUCCUAUGGGAAGAAAAAAAUGACGGUACCAUAGGAGGAAGCCCCGGCUAACUACGUGCCAGCAGCCGCGGUAAUACGUAGGGGGCAAGCGUUAUCCGGAAUCACUGGGCGUAAAGGGUGCGUAGGUGGCUUGUCAAGCCAGAGGUGAAAGGCAUUGGGUCAACCAAUGUAAGCGUUUGGGACUGAUAGGCUUGAGUGCAGGAGAGGAGAGUGGAAUACCUGUUGUAGAGGUGAAAUUCGUAGAGAUUAGGAGGAGAACCACUGGCGAAGACGACUUACUGGACUGUAACUGACACUGAGGCACGAAAGCGUGGGUAGCGAACA